AUAUAAGAGGUUGGUCAUUUAAAAACGUAUCAACAGUAUCGUAUACGUUGACGUAUCCGCAUCUGCAGAUUUAUCAAAAGUUAUUAUGUGAUCCCGAGCUUAAGAACACCUUACGUUCGAAUCAAUCAAACAUUCACUUUCAAAAUUUGCAAUAGUGGUGUUUUGUAAAAAUUAUAAUAAGGGGGUCUAUCAACUACUUUUACAUGCCCUUGAAAAAGAGCCAAUGUAGGGCAGGUACAUGAAUAUCGUACACAAUCCUUUAAUAAUCUAGUUAAAAAAUAUUUCAAGAACUUACAUAAAUAAACACACACAAAAAAUCAAAUGUACUACUUAUAUACCUGUAAGGAACUUUGAAUAGUGUUCAUUUGCGAUGUUAUC
rnacentral:lncRNA from 1 species